rnacentral:rRNA from 1 species
AACGAACGCUGGCGGCAUGCCUAAUACAUGCAAGUCGAACGAGACCUUCGGGUCUUUUUGCCAACGGGUUCGUCACCCGACGGGACCUUCCCUUGGGGUCGGUAUACCUUUCCGCAGGGGGUGCCAAUUCCGGACAAAUUCUUCUAACCAAUGAUUUAUUUCCUUUGGAUGUGGACGCUUUGGAUUAGCUAGUUGGUAGGUUAAAAAACAACCAAGGUGAUGUUCCCUAGCUGGUGUGGGAGGACGACCAGCCACACUGGGACUGUGACACGGCCCGGACUCCUACGGGAAGCAGCAGUGGGGAAUAUUGGACAAUGGGCGAAAGCAUGAUCCAGCAAUGCCGCGUGAGUGAUGAAGGAGUUAGGGUUGUAAAGCUCUUUUACCCGGGAUGAUAAUGACAGUACCGGGAGAAUAAGCUCCGGCUAACUCCGUG